GUGCCAGCAGCCGCGGUAAUACGUAGGUGGCAAGCGUUAUCCGGAAUUAUUGGGCGUAAAGCGCGCGCAGGUGGUUUCUUAAGUCUGAUGUGAAAGCCCACGGCUCAACCGUGGAGGGUCAUUGGAAACUGGGAGACUUGAGUGCAGAAGAGGAAAGUGGAAUUCCAUGUGUAGCGGUGAAAUGCGUAGAGAUAUGGAGGAACACCAUUGGCGAAGGCGANUUUNUGGUNUGUAANUGACANUGANGCGCGAAAGCGUGNGGAGCAAACAGGAUUAGAUACCCUGGUAGUCC
rnacentral:rRNA from 1 species